UCAUACCCUUUACAUACUGAUCUUACAAAUAUAUAUUAUGUACUACCAUUUAUAUACUAAUUUCUAGCACUUAUAUAGGGUUUAUGGUGUGCCAGCCAACUUUUAUAUUAUCUCCUUUGGUCCUCAUAAUAACCUUGUAAGGUGGAUUCUAUUCUUAUCCCCAUUUUUACAGAUGAGGAAACUUUUAAGGUGUAUGAAGCAGUAUGGCCAAAAGAAGUUAAGUGACUGACCGGAAAUCACAUAGUUGGUUGGUUGGUUAUUGUCCUUCCGUACUAGAAGAGGACCAAAGUGACAUCAUCAGUGAUUUCUUUUGACUCACGCAUAAAUUGCAUUUAACUGAGGCAGAGCCUCUUGAUUCCACUGAAGUCCAGCGGCAAGACAAAAGUCAGGAUGACUGGUGAUGGCUCUGGAUGUAGUGAAUGGCCAAGCUCCAAGUGGUUCACAGCACCUGCUUCAGCCACCUUCAUGACCAAGGGGUCAUGAAUUAUUCUCAUCCCCCUUUCUGCAGAAGAAGCCUUCAUAUGCCUGGGGUAGACAUGCCUCACCACAUCCCCCAGAUCACCAGUGGGUUUGGGGCCCAUCAGUUAACCUUCACCCUGGUUUAGUGUACCUGUUCAGAUGGUAUGCAAAGGGGUGGCCACUGGGCAAGCUACAGCUUCUAGGAGCCAGGUGAGAGCUGAGUGGCAAGUGGACAUACUUCUUUAGGAGAAGAACAGCCCUAGAAAGGGGUUGGCAAACUCUUACUUGAGAGAUACUAGUCCUCUCUGAACAUUGUGUAAUUGGAAAUCUUGUGCCUUUGAACUACAUUUCCCAGGAGCCCAUUGACUUCCUGUUGUUAAAUGAUGAUGUAGACAGGAGAUAAAUUGGGUGGUCUUUCAUGGCUAGCUCUCUUUCCUUCCUGGGUUGGGACAUUGGUGGAGUGGGUUGUUUGAACAGUAGAUUAGCCAUGGGCACGUGGUUUUAUUUUGUUACCUUUUUAUUUUGUUACUUCUAGUGAUCAUUAAUAAAUCUUAUAAAAUAUAAUAUUUAAA